GUGAUCAAGUCUCAUCAAAGUAUGGCCAAAGAAACAUUUUCAUAAGAAUAAAAGACAACCCAAUCACCUGCAGCAACUUAUACUAUGGAAAACACAUUGAUGAGAACGUUUGUAUCACUAAUUAUUUUUGGAUCUGUCAUAUACAUAUAUAUGUAUGUUUAUUUACGCAAUGAAGCCUGGAUUCAAUUUCGUGGCAACAGGUUAUUGAUAUUAAGAGCGACAACGUCAUCGCAUAUCACUCAACAACAGACAACGAACUCUCUCACGAAUAUGACAGGCGAUGAAAAACUGCAUACUGGCGAUAUUACGGAACAACCGACAAACCACUCUCCAAUAAAUAUCACAGAAACUGCAAUAAAAAAUAGGUAUGUAAUAUGAAAAUAUGACAAUAAUAAUUUACUCUCAAUGAUGAACAUCAUCAUUUUUUUUCGUUUUUGUUUUCAUAGUACACAAUUAUUCAAAAUUUUUG